rnacentral:rRNA from 1 species
UACAGAGGUCUCAAGCGUUGUUCGGAUUCAUUGGGCGUAAAGGGUGCGUAGGCGGUCUGUCGCGUCGGCUGUGAAAACCUGGGGCUCAACUCCGGGCCUGCAGCCGAUACGGGCAGACUAGAAUUCGGUAGGGGAGACUGGAAUUCCUGGUGUAGCGGUGAAAUGCGCAGAUAUCAGGAGGAACACCGGUGGCGAAGGCGGGUCUCUGGGCCGAUAUUGACGCUGAGGAGCGAAAGCGUGGGGAGCGAACAGG